AGAGUUUGAUCCUGGCUCAGGAUGAACGCUAGCUACAGGCUUAACACAUGCAAGUCGAGGGGCAGCGGGAAGGAAGCUUGCUUUCUUCGCCGGCGACCGGCGCACGGGUGAGUAACGCGUAUCGAACCUGCCUCAUACUCGGGAAUAACCUUGCGAAAGUAAGACUAAUACCCGAUGUUUUCAUCUUCUCGCAUGAGGAGUUGAACAAAGUUUUUCGGUAUGAGAUGGCGAUGCGUCCCAUUAGCUUGUUGGCGGGGUAACGGCCCACCAAGGCAUCGAUGGGUAGGGGUUCUGAGAGGAAGGUCCCCCACAUUGGAACUGAGACACGGUCCAAACUCCUACGGGAGGCAGCAGUGAGGAAUAUUGGUCAAUGGACGGAAGUCUGAACCAGCCAAGUAGCGUGCAGGAUGACGGCCCUCUGGGUUGUAAACUGCUUUUAGUUGGGAAUAAAGUGCGGUACGUGUACCGUUUUGUAUGUACCAUCAGAAAAAGGACCGGCUAAUUCCGUGCCAGCAGCCGCGGUAAUACGGAAGGUCCAGGCGUUAUCCGGAUUUAUUGGGUUUAAAGGGAGCGCAGGCGGACUCUUAAGUCAGUUGUGAAAUACGGCGGCUCAACCGUCGGACUGCAGUUGAUACUGGGAGUCUUGAGUACACGCAGAGAUACUGGAAUUCAUGGUGUAGCGGUGAAAUGCUCAGAUAUCAUGAGGAACUCCGAUCGCGAAGGCAGGUAUCUGGAGUGUAACUGACGCUGAGGCUCGAAAGUGCGGGUAUCAAACAGGAUUAGAUACCCUGGUAGUCCGCACAGUAAACGAUGAAUACUCGCGGUUGGCGAUAUACAGUCAGCCGCCAAGCGAAAGCGUUAAGUAUUCCACCUGGGGAGUACGCCGGCAACGGUGAAACUCAAAGGAAUUGACGGGGGCCCG
rnacentral:rRNA from 1 species